AUGGUGGCUCUGAGCUUCAGUGUGUUUUCACCUUUGUUUCUGACCAUACUGUCAGGUGUCAGCUGUGAAGAUCUCACUCCACUCAAGAAAGAAGAGUUCAGUUUAGAAGGCAGCAAAGUUACUCUGUCAUACAAAUACAACAAAACUGCAACAUCUUUUGAUUACUUCUUCUGGUAUCGACAAGAUCCAGGAAAACCACCAGAAUUCCUCCUGAUGAUCACAGGAAUUGAAAAGUCAGCAGUGAUUCUCAAAUCAGACCCAAGGAUUUCUACUAAACUGUCUGAAGACAAGCGUGGUGUGGAUCUGGAGAUCUCCUCUCGUGGUGUGGAUCUGGAGAUCUCCUCUGCUGCAGUGACACACUCUGCUCUGUACUACUGUGCUGUG